rnacentral:lncRNA from 1 species
CCAAGAUGAGCCUGAAAGGACAAACGGAGAUAUUUUGGUGUUUCCCGACAUGGUGAAGUAUAAGUGAGUCCUUUUUUUUUCCAUGGAUUUCCAGCGUACGUAUUGAAAAUGUGUUGUAAAUCCUACCCUUACAAUGUGCUUGAUUUGCUCGCCGCCAUUUUCACAGUUAACAUAAUUUUUUGUUGCAAUGUAGAUGGCUUAGCUGGUGGGGAGAUUCACUAAAUUUAUCAUGUACCUUAUGCUUUUCUCUUGCAGGGGAAUUUCAGAAUCAGAUGUUGAAUCUUUUGUCGAUGAGGUACUGUUGAAGGGGGACAAGUGGGCCUUAGGGGAAUCUGAGCCUCUUGUUGGAACCCAUGUGUUCAUCUGUGCACAUGGCAGUCGUGACAAGAGGUGUGGUGUAUGCGGACCUCCUUUAAGAGAGCGUUUCAAUCAGGAAAUUGCUCUGCGUGGGCUAGGUGAACAAGUGUUUGUAAACUAUUGCUCUCACAUCGGAGGCCAUAAGUAUGCCGGUAACGUGAUUGUGUUUAGACCUGAUGGAGGUUCUGGAGGUUGCUCGGGUCAUUGGUGAGUUUUUCACGUUCUGGACGGAAAUUUUAUACUUUUGUUGGAUCCCUGUGUUUACUUUUGUGGCAAAUGUCGGAUACUUUCGUUUGCAUCAUUUGGCCAAGGCUGCGCUUCAUACCUCGGUGAUAUGCUGUUGGAACUCAAUAUAUUUACCUUAAUCUAAUAUAUCUGAAGUAGGGUACAUGUUUUGUUCAUAAAUACUUGGUUUGUAUUGUGUAAGGUAUUGAGGUUUUAGGUACAGUUAUUAGCUGAGGUUCGCGAUACUAUCGAUUUAGAAAAUCAUUGUUUGGGGUUUCAGGUACGGGUACGUCACUCCUGAUGAUGUCCCAGAGAUAAUGGAGAAGCACAUUGGACUUGGCGAGGUGGUGGGUCGGCUUUGGAGGUAAUUCAGACUCGUCUUUGAGAAACUAUUGAAUGUGAAUUGAAAGCAAAUCAGCAGUAAGCAAUAUCAAGUUAAGAAGCUCUAGAGAACUGUGGAACUGAUGGGUUAUUUGUACUGAUGCAGGGGUCAGAUGGGAUUGACUGAGGAUGAGCAGAAGGAAGUUCAGCAGAAAAGGAACCCCUCCAGUAAUCUAACUCAGGAUGGCACUAAACCAGAAGGGAAGGUGGAUGCAGCUUCAACAUCUACUGGAGCAACUGCUCCUAUUAGGAAAAAGCCUCCUCCUCCUCUACUUCCACGCAUUGGGUCACGCGACCUGCACCAAAUGUGUGGGGACGAACAGGAAGAAGAAGGUCCACUUAAACCGUACGAGGAGAAGAAAAAGCCUAGGUUCAAAUGGCCAACGUGGGUGGAAGACUGGGAAUCUGGAGACACAAUAGCCGUGGUGACUCUCGCAACUGCAGUUACUGCUAUUUAUUUCGCAUACCAUGCUUAUCGCGUAACUUCCCAGCAAAAUUAAGUCAAUUAACUUCGCAGAUAAGUCAGCGUUUAUGCAUUUUGAGUUUAGCAACUUUACAGUGGAGGAAUACGGUAUAUAGCAAUGUACGAGCGGGGUGUCAUGACAGGUUUUUAUGGCUGUGGGAAAUGCGACUUUUGUUUUUUAGCUGAACUGGAGAGGGCCAUGGUAAACUCCACUUGCAACUAUAGGAGGUUGUCACAGUCGUGACAUCUCUUUGGAACCAAACCUACUAUUUUUUCAAGCAGAAAAAUCUGUUUAGCAGCCUCCUAAGUCAUAAUUCAUAACUGUGGCCAGAUGGCCUUUUUGAGGACUACUCUCAAAUCACUCAGAAUCUAUGAUCGAAGCAACCGUAGGUGAGGGAAUUGCUUCUUCAACACGAAGAAUGUCGGCUGCAGGAAUCAUGGCGCACUCUUGGCUUAUUGCAGAUACUGGGAGAGCAACAUCUUCUGCAGUGAAAUUCUUUGGUAGUAUACU